AUUUUAUAACCACAAUUACAUGGUUAUGUGACUUUUACUUAUGCAUGUUUCUGCGUGUGUGCGCAUACGUGUGUGUGAUCUUAUUAUUCACUGAGCAGCAUAUCAGAAAUAAUGCCUUAUAGCUAAAUAAUUUUCUACAAGCCUUACUCACAUGUUCUCUUGGGCUUUUACACCUUGUUGCUCAGAGUGCAAUCCAUAGAUUAGAAACAUAAGUAUCACCUGGUUGUUAGAAAGGCAGCCUCUCCAUACAGAGUCCUUGAAUUAGAAUCUGCAUUUUAAUGAGAUCCUUUGGGUGAUUUGUGUUCACAGUUAAGUUUGAGAAGCCGGGGCACCUCAAGGGAAACCCGUUCUUUCCUGGUAGACAUUUUCUAAUGAGCUUCUAAGGAGAAUUUUCAUUCCUUUAGAAAAAGUUUUUCCUCAUCCAGAGAGAUUUGCAGUGAAGCAGCCCUUGAGAUGAAUUUUACCAUCUAGGACAUGGUGUUUGGAAAUGAAAGGAAGAAGCAGGAAUGGGAGAAGGGAGAAGUUGAGCGAUGAUACAGUGGCCACAAUGACUUUGGGAGACUCCAUGGAGAGGCCUUGAGGAGUGGUCCCUCUGCCAUCCCUUUCAUUUUCCUGACCUUGACAUGAUAGUCUGGAGUCACCACCAAUACUCAUAUUUCCAAUCUCUUCUAGUCUUCAGUACAACUGUCUGGAACCUGAAGCUACUCUGUUAAUGGCUCCUACUCAGUAUGAAGAAAAAUAACGUGACUCUGAAAAUUCAUGCCACCAAGCUUGCCAUUAGGCUAGUAAUGGCAUCUAGAAAACUUUUUCAUUUUCCACUCAAUGUUGUUCCUUUUUGUGUAAUGGCUACAUUUAACCUCCCUAAAGAUGAACUGUACCCUCCCCCCAGUCCAACCCUUUCACUGACUACGACAAAUUUAUUUGUUUUCAAUGGGAAAUAAUCACCAUCAACUGUUUUCUUUGCCUGAAACAUUCUGUCUAUAUCUACAUAUUUUCUCCUUCAUCUACUCACCUCUCAUUUAUUCUUGAGGACACAACCUGAAGAAAACUUCAUUGACCGCUCCAAAGUGCCUUGAAGUCACUACACUUUUCUCCACCGGAGGACCCCUAUCCAGUCCUUGUAAUUGUUUCUUACUUUUCAUUAUUUUUGCAUAUUAAUAAAGCAGGUUUGCCUUAUCCAUAUCUGUCAUUCUAUGCUUAUCCACAUCUCUGAUUCAUAGUUAACUAUCCAGUAACUAUUUAUGAAAUUAAAGAGUGAUGCCAUUCCACCUCCCCUUCUCUCCCCAGAUCUUAUUCUCUGCUGUACUUCUCCUCAGAUACCUUGUUGCCUUUUCUUUUUAGUUUAUGUAAUUCAUGUUUUUAAGCACAU